AAAGUUUUAGUAUAUAUAAGUAUGGUUUAUUGUCAAUAAGCAGGUUUAAAACUUUA
rnacentral:tRNA from 1 species